UUUUUUCUUUCAGUUUAGGAAAAAUAACAAAUGACUAGUAAAGGAAAAACCCUAGGUUCCAUUGCUGCAAAAAGGUCUCGUUCCCGCCGCAGCAAAGCCGAUCUACAAUCCCAAUCGGUCGUAUCGCCUGAUUCCUCGAGCCAGAAAGUAUGCCGAAUGUGUCGUAUCGGAGCUCUGGUCUUCCUGGAUGUUGUGAUUGAAUCCUUGAGCACCGGUUGCAAGGUACUCAAGCACAACAGCAAGGAAGAUCAGAGCUUUGGCACCGACACGUUUGACUUACUUUUCGACUUUGAGGAACUGGGCAAUAUAACCAACUGGGAAUUCGAGACCGGCUUUGUUGUUGUGGAAAUGCGACUUUUUUUUGUAGAAACGAAACCAAGGAAUUUUCCUUUGCCUGUCAUUUUAUUUUUCAUCUACUCCGAAAAAAAAAGUUUUGCUUUUUGAUCUAUAAAAACGAGAGGAAGAUGAGUUGUUGUGUGGAUGUGAAUUCCUAUGGCAAUCCCACUUUGAUAUGUUAAUAACUCGAGUUAUAAAUGAGAAGAAAAUCAUGAGGACUGAACUUAUACUCCAUUGGAUGAAAGAGCGAAGGAACAGUGGAUAGCAAUGCUAACACAUUGUGGAUAGCAAUGCUAACACAUUUAAUCGCUUUAAGCAUUAUGAUGAGUUUGCUACCCAGAAAAAAAAAAGAAAUAUGAUUAAUUAGUUGCCCAAGAAAAAAAGGAUUUAUGAGGAGUUUAUAGCGAAAAAGAAGGGGAUUAUUAUAACUUUUUUUUUGUUGGCAACAAACUCAUCAUAAUCUUUUUUUUUUUUUGGAAAUAAAUUAAUCAUAUAUAAUCUUUUCUUUUUGCAACAAAAUCAUCAUAAUCCUUCAAAAUAGUUAAAUGUGUCAGCAUUGUUAUCCACCGUUCAUUUGCUCUAUCAUCCAACGAUGUACGAGUUCAAUCCUCGCGAUUGUCUUCUCAUUGGUUGGGUCUAUAAAAUAUCAAAGGCGGAUUCCCUUAGGAGCUCAGAAAUACACAACAAUUCACGUCUCUCUCAUUUCCAUCAAUCAAAAAGUAAAACUUCUCUUUGUAACUCCCACAUACGGUUGGAUACCCGCAGUCUCCAAUGGUGUUCGUCAAUAGAUAUCAUCCCUUGUCCAAGAUGAUCCUUCCCAGUGAUAUGAACUAAGAUCAGAACGUUCAACUAAGAAGAGAAAGAUAUGAAAGGUGAAUUGUGUAUUUUUGAGAAGAGAACUUUGUAACGGAAGAGAACUUUCAAUUUAGAUUGAAUACAAAUGAAAAUAGUCAUCCCUAUUUAUACUUGUGUAUCGAUGAUUCUAGAAUUAUUCUAGAUACAUUAUCAAGAAAGAUCUAGUUAAUUUCUUAUUUUCUAAAUAUCUAACAAAUUCUAGAUUAUUCUA